AGAAGAGUAAGGUGUAUAAAAGCAUUGUACCCAGUUUCCACCAUCUGAAUUCUACGGUUGUGAAUCAUGCGUCUGUCUCUGAUGAUCGUUGUAGGCUGUGAAUCAUGCGUCUGUCUCUGAUGAUCGUUACCAUGACACUGGUCCUGAUGAUCGAUGCUAGAACGACUCCAUCACCAGAGGAUUAUGAAUAUCAAGAUAGCGGAUAUGAUAAGAAGGAUAACUGCUACCAUAUUGGCUAUCCAAAAAAAUACACAAUGUCUGUUGGUUACGGACUACAGUCCACAAAAAUCAGGAGAGUAUCAAAUAUGAAUUUUUUUAAUGUAAAAAAGUAAAUUUCUCGCUAACUCUUUCUUUACACCUCACAUACUCUCUCACACAAUCCCACACAUACAUGGUAUUAGUAGAUUCAGUGCUAGAAAUGUUGGUAACAUAAGUAUUGUUUAGUUGCUUAACAUUACAAGUAGUCUUCCGUAAAUUUUAUAUAUUUUAAAAUUGAUUACAGAAGUCAAAUUCACAACGCACUAAAAGAUUACCCAGCGGUUAACGAAUCCCUGAAGAACAGUGAAUGCCAAAAAGCAUAUCACUAUUCCUAUGGACAAGAAGAAACAUGUCCGACCGACCGUAAACUGGUUACUAAGGUAUACAUUGGAAAGGAAUGGUGCAACGUGGCUAAGCCUAAUUACCAAUGUGUUACAGCUGCAUCUUGCCAAACAC